GACGCGGGCGGGUGCCGUGGUGAAGGUGGUGCGAGAGCAUUACCUGCGCGACGAUAUCCCCUGCGGCGCCGACGCCUGCCUACUCUAGGCGCGGCCUAGCGGCGCCGCCAGCGGCCUGUGCCCCGGGCCGCACUACCUGCUGCCCGACACCAACCUCCUCCUGCACCAGAUUGAUAUUCUCGAAGACCCUGUUAUUAAGAAUGUCAUUGUGCUACAGACAGUUUUACAAGAGGUCAGGAAUCGGAGUGCACCAGUGUACAAACGAAUCAGAGACGUGAUUGGAAACCCUGAAAAACAUUUCUAUUCCUUCACCAAUGAACAUCAUCGAGAAACAUACAUAGAGCAAGAACAAGGAGAAAGCUCUAAUGACCGCAACGACAGAGCCAUUCGGGUAGCAGUAAGGUGGUACAGUGAACACUUGAAGAAAAUACAGAAUGAGGAGAAUGAAGAUAUCCAAGUUAUCUUUCUUACAAACGACAGAAAUAAUAAGGAGAAAGCCCUUGAGGAAGGGAUAACUGCUUAUACGUGUGAGGAGUAUAUUAAAAGCUUGAUAGAUAAUCCUGAUCUUGUAGAUCGUCUUGCUUGCGUAUCUGAUGAAGGGAAAGAAAUAGAAAGUAGCAAAAUAAUUUUCCCAGAACACGUUCCUCUUAGCAAAUUGCAGCAAGGAAUAAAAUCUGGCAUUUACCUCCAAGGAACCUAUAGAGCAAGUAGAUAUGAUUAUCUUGAAGCUACUGUCUGGGUUCAUGGAGAUGCUGAAGAAAACCAAGAGGUGUGUGUUUUAACUUGAUACUGUGAAUUUUAUUUGGUCAUUACUGAAUGAUUAUGUAAUUAUUUCACAGUGGUAAGUGGUAUUAAAAUGCAGCAUUAUUUUUUUUUUCUCUUUUUGUUUAUUUUUCUGACGUGGGUUUUUUGCUUUGUUUUUGUGGAGAUAUCCUCAGUAUUUCAGUGGUCUGCCAUUUUACAAAAAAAUAUGAUGUUAAAAGGCAUAAUGUGUCCUUUGGAAAAGUAUGUAAUAAACUAAAAUGGAAUCUUUGAUUUUCAACGCUGUCAUAUUCAAGUCAAUUGAAAUAGUAUUUUCUUAAAUUAUUUUGAAGCGUGUGAUGAAGAAGUAGUAAACUUGUAGGAAUAUUUACAGGAAAACUGUGGUGAGCCCUCGUGGGGCUCUCUUGUGUUAUUUGCCCUGAUAUUUUUCGGCUGUUGCCCUUUGAGCAGUUUACCUUGGUUUCUGCCUGCUGGAUUUUGAACGUGCAGCUGGUACAAUUGGACACAUAUUGUUUCCAAAUGGCAGCAGAUGACUCCUCACUCCCUAUUUCUGGCGGCAGCUGACAGUUCUUCCUUGGCUCUCAGAUUAUUGUAUUCCGGACUCACAGCAGUAUGUGAAAGGCUCUUAGCGUGCAAAAAUAGAAGAAUUUUCUGAUUCGAAGAAGAAAAAAAUCGGGAAAACAAGUGGUUUUACAGAGACUAUUGGAAUUGUGAAAUAAGAAAUUGGUUAAAAGGCUGCAGUCAGAGGGUGGUCAUCAAUGGCUGUAUGUCCAGGGGUUGGCUGGUAACGAGCAGCGUCCCCCAGGGGUCUGGUUUGAGGCCAGUGCUCUUUAUCAAUGACAUCGAUGACGGAGUUGAGUGCAUUC